rnacentral:rRNA from 1 species
AGGGGGCACCCGUAUCCAUCAUGCCGCGUGUGUGAAGAAGGCCUUCGGGUUGUAAAGCACUUUUGUCAGGAACGAAACGGUGGGGGCUAAUACCUCCUGCUAAUGACGGUACCUGAAGAAUAAGCACCGGCUAACUACGUGCCAGCAGCCGCGGUAAUACGUAGGGUGCGAGCGUUAAUCGGAAUUACUGGGCGUAAAGCGUGCGCAGGCGGUUGUGCAAGACAGAUGUGAAAUCCCCGGGCUUAACCUGGGAAUGGCAUUUGUGACUGCACGGCUAGAGUGUGUCAGAGGGGGGUAGAAUUCCACGUGUAGCAGUGAAAUGCGUAGAUAUGUGGAGGAAUACCGGUGGCGAAGGCAGCCCCCUGGGAUAACACUGACGCUCAGGCACGAAAGCGUGGGGAGCAAACAGGAUUAGAUACCCUGGUAGUCCACGCCCUAAACGAUGUCAACUAGUUGUCGGGUCUUAAUUGACUUGGUAACGCAGCUAACGCGUGAAGUUGACCGCCUGGGGAGUACGGUCGCAAGAUUAAAACUCAAAGGAAUUGACGGGGACCCGCACAAGCGGUGGAUGAUGUGGAUUAAUUCGAUGGCACGCGAAAAACCUUACCUACCCUUGACAUGUCAGGAACCCCGUUGAGAGGUGGGGGUGCUCGAAAGAGAGCCUGAA